GUUACCUUGUUACGACUUUUCCCUCCUUGUGAACUUAGAUUCGACGCCGCCACAAAGGACGGCGCCUCACCCAUGAGUCACUCGGAUGGAACGACGGGCGGUGUGUGCAAGGAGCAGGGACGUAUUCACCGCGCGCUAGUGACACGCGAUUACUAGGGAUUCCAUGUUCACGAGGGUGGGUUACAACCCUCGAUCCCAACUACGGCAGGCUUUCGAGAUUGCCUCCCCCUUUCGAGGUCGGAACCCAUUGUACCUGCCAUUGCAGCUCGCGUGUGGCCCGGGAGAUUCGGGGCAUACUGACCUGCCGUGGCCCGCUCCUUCCUCCACUUUAUCAGUGGCGGUCUCCUCAGUGUGCCCAGCACAAGGCUAGUAGCAACAGAGGACGCGGGUCUCGAUCGUUGCCUGACUUAACAGGACACCUCACGGCACGAACUGGCGACGGCCAUGCACCUCCUCUCAGCUCGUCUGGCAAGACCUUUAAUCUGGCCUUCACACUGCUGUCGCUCCCGGUGAGAUUUCCGGCGUUGACUCCCAAUUAAACCGCAAGCUUCACCCCUUGUGGUGCUCCCCCCGCCAAAUUCCUUUAAGUUUCAAUCUUUGCGAUCGUACUC
rnacentral:rRNA from 1 species